AUUGUACGCUGGCGGCAUGCUUUACACAUGCAAGUCGAACGGUAACAGCACUUCGGUGGCUGACGAGUGGCGAACGGGUGAGUAAUACAUCGGAACGUGCCUAGUAGUGGGGGAUAACUACUCGAAAGAGUAGCUAAUACCGCAUGAGAUCUAAGGAUGAAAGCAGGGGACCUUCGGGCCUUGCGCUACUAGAGCGGCUGAUGGCAGAUUAGGUAGUUGGUGGGAUAAAAGCUUACCAAGCCGACGAUCUGUAGCUGGUCUGAGAGGACGACCAGCCACACUGGGACUGAGACACGGCCCAGACUCCUACGGGAGGCAGCAGUGGGGAAUUUUGGACAAUGGGCGCAAGCCUGAUCCAGCAAUGCCGCGUGCAGGAUGAAGGCCUUCGGGUUGUAAACUGCUUUUGUACGGAACGAAAAGCCCUCUUCUAAUACAGGAGGGUCAUGACGGUACCGUAAGAAUAAGCACCGGCUAACUACGU
rnacentral:rRNA from 1 species